GAGCAUUUGGCAGUUGCUUCGUCCUUGAGGCUGGAUGAUCAGCAGUUGGAAUAGUCACCCAGCGGGUGUCUCUCACUGGAGAGCCCAGAACUGGUGGAAACUCAGUCUGUAAGGGAACCUAGGUCAUGGAAUCCUGCCAUCACAUUUAGGGUGAGUCUUCCUAACUCAGUGAACCCAAUCUAGACACCCACCCCUAAGAUAACAUACCUUGAGACUUGUGUCUUCACUACAUCCUGCCAAGUUAGCAACCAAAUUACCCAUCACAGCUGGAUAGCUCAGUGAGUAAAUGUACCUGCUGCUAAAUCUAACAAAACCUGAAUUUGACCCCAGGGACCUACAGACUGGAAGGAGAGAACUGAUUCCCAAAAGUUGUUUUUUGACCUCCACGUAUUCACCAUGGCUCAAGUACCCCACUCCCACGAAAAGAAAAUAAAUGAAAAUAGAAUGUUUAAAAGCCAAUAAAAUGUACCACAUUUUCUCUA